GCCCGCUUGGCUCAGUGGUAGAGCGCAUCACUAGUAGAUCUUGAUUAUCCUCUUGCUUGAGGAGGAUGUCAUGGCUGCUGGGCCAUGAUGAGGUCAUCAGUUCGAUUCUGAUAGUGGGCA